rnacentral:rRNA from 1 species
AGAGUUUGAUCCUGGCUCAGGACGAACGCUGGCGGCGUGCCUAACACAUGCAAGUCGAGCGAUGAAGCCCUUCGGGGUGGAUUAGCGGCGGACGGGUGAGUAACACGUGGGUAACCUGCCUCAAAGAGGGGGAUAGCCUCCCGAAAGGGAGAUUAAUACCGCAUAACAUUAGCUUUUCGCAUGGAGAGCUAAUUAAAGGAGUAAUCCGCUUUGAGAUGGACCCGCGGCGCAUUAGCUAGUUGGUGAGGUAAAGGCUCACCAAGGCGACGAUGCGUAGCCGACCUGAGAGGGUGAUCGGCCACAUUGGAACUGAGACACGGUCCAGACUCCUACGGGAGGCAGCAGUGGGGAAUAUUGCACAAUGGGCGAAAGCCUGAUGCAGCAACGCCGCGUGAGUGAUGAAGGCCUUCGGGUUGUAAAGCUCUGUCUUUGGGGACGAUAAUGACGGUACCCAAGGAGGAAGCCACGGCUAACUACGUGCCAGCAGCCGCGGUAAUACGUAGGUGGCGAGCGUUGUCCGGAUUUACUGGGCGUAAAGGAUGCGUAGGUGGAUGUUUAAGUCAGAUGUGAAAUACCCGAGCUUAACUUGGGUGCUGCAUUUGAAACUGGAUAUCUAGAGUGCAGGAGAGGUAAGUGGAAUUCCUAGUGUAGCGGUGAAAUGCGUAGAGAUUAGGAAGAACACCAGUGGCGAAGGCGACUUACUGGACUGUAACUGACACUGAGGCAUGAAAGCGUGGGUAGCAAACAGGAUUAGAUACCCUGGUAGUCCACGCCGUAAACGAUGAGUACUAGGUGUAGGGGGGUCCAACCUUCUGUGCCGCAGUUAACACAAUAAGUACUCCGCCUGGGAAGUACGAUCGCAAGAUUAAAACUCAAAGGAAUUGACGG